rnacentral:rRNA from 1 species
CCCCGUAAUUCGGAAAUGAGUAACACCUUUAAAUCCCUUUUAACAAGGAUUCCAUUGAAGGGCAAGUCUGGUGCCAGCAGCCGCGGUAAUUCCAGCUUCCAAUAGCGUAUAUUAAAAGUUGUUGCGGUUAAAAAAGCUCGUAGUUGGUUCUGCGUGCCACGCUGUCGGUUUCGCCGCCYGCCGGUGUAACUGGCAUGUCGUGGCAUGUCCUGUCGGUGGCGUUCGGGAGCCUUGUCUAGGCGACGGCCCUUGCCCAAAGCUUGGUGUUCGGAGGCCGGAGGUCCACCCGUUCGCCUACUCUAUCCUACCUAGGUGCUCUUCACCGAGUGUCGAGGUAGGCCGACACGUUUACUUUGAACAAAUUAGAGUGCUCAAAGCAGGCUGAAAUCUCUGCCUGAAUAGUGGUGCAUGGAAUAAUAAAACAGGACCUUGGUUCUAUUUUGUUGGUUCUUAGGAACACAAGGUAAUGAUCAAUACGGACAGGCGGGGGCAUUCGUAUUGCGACGUUAGAGGUGAAAUUCUUGGAUCGUCGCAAGACGCACAAGAGCGAAAGCAUUUGCCAAGUAUGUCUUGAUUGAUCAAGAACGAAAGUUAGAGGUUCGAAGGCGAUCAGAUACCGCCCUAGUUCUAACCAUAAACGAUGCCAGCCAGCGAUCCGCCGAUGUUCCUCCGAUGACUCGGCGGGGAGCUUCUUCCCGGGAAACCAAAGCUUUUGGGUUCCGGGGGAAGUAUGGUUGCAAAGCUGAAACUUAAAGGAAUUGACGGAAGGGCACCACCAGGAGUGGAGCCUGCGGCUUAAUUUGACUCAACACGGGAAACCUCACCAGGCCAGGACAUUGGAAGGAUUGACAGAUUGAUA